UGCGCAGGCGGAUUGGUAAGUCAGUGGUGAAAUACAACGAGCUUAACUGUUGCCCUGCCAUUGAUACUGUCAGUCUAGAGUAUAGUUGGAGUGGGCGGAAUGUGUCAUGUAGCGGUGAAAUGCUUAGAUAUGACACAGAACACCGAUCGCGAAGGCAGCUCACUAAACUAAAACUGACGCUCAUGCACGAAAGCGUGGGGAUCAAACAGGAUUAGAUACCCUGGUAGUCCACGCUGUAAACGAUGAUUACUCGAUGUUGGCGAUACACAGUCAGCGUCUGAACGAAAGUAUUAAGUAAUCCACCUGGGGAUACGUUCGCAAGGAUGAA
rnacentral:rRNA from 1 species